rnacentral:pre_miRNA from 1 species
UAGUUACUCCCUCCGUUCGGAAUUACUUGUCGCAGAAAUGGAUGUAUCUAGACGUAUUUUAGUUCUAGAUACAUCCAUUUCCGAGACAAGUAAUUCCGAACGGAGGGAGUAGGUA